UACGUAGGGUGCAAGCGUUUGUCCGGAAUUAUUGGGCGUAAAGAGCUCGUAGGCGGUCUGUCGCGUCUGCUGUGAAAACUCAGGGCUUAACCCUGAGCUUGCAGUGGGUACGGGCAGACUAGAGUGCGGUAGGGAAGACUGGAAUUCCUGGUGUAGCGGUGAAAUGCGCAGAUAUCAGGAGGAACACCGGUGGCGAAGGCGGGUCUCUGGGCCGAUACUGACGCUGGAGGAGCGAAAGCGUGGGGAGCGAACAGG
rnacentral:rRNA from 1 species